rnacentral:tRNA from 1 species
GUCUCUGUAGCGCACUGGUUAAUGCACGGGCCCGGUUAGGCGCGAGACGUGGGUUCAAAUCCCGCCUGAGAUG